UACGUACGAGGCGAGCGUUAUCCGGAAUUACUGGGCGUAAAGCGCGCGCAGGCGGACCAUUAAGUUGGGCGUGAAAUCUCCCGGCCUAACUGGGAGGGGUCGCCCAAGACUGGUGGUCUUGAGGACAGCAGAGGUGGGUGGAAUUCCUGGUGUAGCGGUGAAAUGCGUAGAUAUCAGGAGGAACACCUGUGGCGAAAGCGGCUCACUGGACCAUAACUGACGCUGAUGCACGAAAGCUAGGGGAGCAAACAGG
rnacentral:rRNA from 1 species